rnacentral:rRNA from 1 species
GCUUACCGAAAUUAGCCAAACGCCGAAUGCCGGUAAGUGAGAGCGCGGCAGUGAGACUGCGGGCGAUAAGGUUCGUAGUCGAGAGGGAAACAGCCCAGAUCGCCGGUUAAGGCCCCUAAGCGUGUGCUAAGUGGGAAAGGAUGUGGAGUCGCCCAGACAACCAGGAGGUUGGCUUAGAAGCAGCCACCCUUGAAAGAGUGCGUAAUAGCUCACUGGUCAAGUGAUUCCG